UUUUACAUGGCCCACCACUUUUCCAUAAAACUUAAAGUAAAAUAAAGAAAGACCCGUUGUUUAACUCAACGGGUCUCUACUUUCCUUCUUUGUCCUGAAGGAAAACCCUAGUGAAACCAAUUUCACCAUAUUGUUCUUCCCUGCGAUGUUGCCUCUUCUACUUCCCUCAACAUACUCACAUACAAGAUUAAGGGCAACAAUUGGAUAACUCAUCACCACCGGCGAAAUACACUACAAUUUGCGACAUCACUACCACCGGCGACCUCACCACCACCGCUGGCGACUACAAAUUUAAGAUAGUGAAUGAAAUGCGUGGUAUUCAGGUUCGAGUUGAAACUGGUUUGAAUUACAUGCAUACAAUGUUCUAUUAAAAAUGUACUUCUAUAUAUAGCUAACUGUAUUGUGUGCUAUUGUUCUGGGUUUUUUGAACAGACGAUUGUUGUUAUUCAAGCUGGUCAUGGACUUUUUCAAUUAGGCUCCUGCAAGAUUGUGAAUCAUCUCAUCUCAUUUUUUUAUCUCUAUCUAAAAUUAAAUUUGUUCCCACCCGUAGAUCUUAGUGGUUCAAUCACUUAAUUAUAUUUAGGAUACACUGCACCUUGAAUAUUACAGUAUUACUAUAUAUAGUACGUUUGAAAAUUGAUUAUGGGGCACAUUGUUAAAGCUACCUUAAAUAUAUUUUGAACUUGAUUAAAUUAGCACAGUUAAUAUAAAGCACCUUUAUUCUGAUAAGACUGCUUAAAAAAAUUUGUUAUCGUCUUUUAAGUGAAAGCAGCUAGUUAUGCACUAAAA